GAUGAAGAACGUAGCGAAAUGCGAUAAGUAAUGUGAAUUGCAGAAUUCAGUGAAUCAUCGAAUCUUUGAACGCACAUUGCGCCCGCCAGUAUUCUGGCGGGCAUGCCUGUUCGAGCGUCAUUUCAACCAUCAAGCCCCCGGCUUGUGUUGGGGACCUGCGGCUGCCGCAGGCCCUGAAAACCAGUGGCGGGCUCGCUAGUCACUCCGAGCGUAGUAAUACAUCUCGCUCAGGGCGAGCUGCGGGUUCCGGCCGUUAAAAAGCCUUAUUUACCCAAGGUUGACCUCGGAUCAGGUAGGAAGACCCGCUGAACUUAAGCAUAUCAAUAAGCGGAGGA
rnacentral:misc_RNA from 1 species